GAUGAACGCUGGCGGCGUGCCUAAUACAUGCAAGUCGAGCGAACGGACGAGAAGCUUGCUUCUCUGAUGUUAGCGGCGGACGGGUGAGUAACACGUGGAUAACCUACCUAUAAGACUGGGAUAACUUCGGGAAACCGGAGCUAAUACCGGAUGAUAUUUUGAACCGCAUGGUUCAAAAGUGAAAGACGGUCUUGCUGUCACUUAUAGAUGGAUCCGCGCUGCAUUAGCUAGUUGGUAAGGUAACGGCUUACCAAGGCAACGAUGCGUAGCCGACCUGAGAGGGUGAUCGGCCACACUGGAACUGAGACACGGUCCAGACUCCUACGGGAGGCAGCAGUAGGGAAUCUUCCGCAAAGGGCGAAAGCCUGACGGAGCAACGCCGCGUGAGUGAUGAAGGUCUUCGGAUCGUAAAACUCUGUUAUUAGGGAAGAACAUAUGUGUAAGUAACUGUGCACGUCUUGACGGUACCUAAUCAGAAAGCCACGGCUAACUACGUG
rnacentral:rRNA from 1 species